UAGCUAGCGUAGCUUAAUACAAAGCAUGGCACUGAAGAUGCCAAGAUGGGCCCUAAAAAGCCCCGCAUGCA
rnacentral:tRNA from 1 species